GAUGAACUUCUGCUUCUACCGUUGGGUUACCAC
rnacentral:sRNA from 1 species